CCAAGGGUGUGGAGCAAUAUCUCCUCAAACCUGACACGAUCUACUAAAUAAAUGAUUAAGUACGGAAGAAAAUGUGCUAUUGCUUUUCCAUCAAUUUAAUUACACAUUCUAGAGGAGUCUAUUUAUGAGGAAACUAAGCAUGCUAUUAUUUCGUAUUGAUUGUGAACUACCACUAACACAUUCUCCUCCUCUUUACACAGACUGCUGCCACAUCAAUUAUCGCCAAAACGCAAGUUCUCCUUCAAUUGAUCCUUAGAAAUACACACAGGUGCUGGUGAAGUGGUAGUGAAACAACACACCAGAAACCCCUGGCUUGAUAGAGCUGAUUCCUGAGUUUGUAGAAUAAGAUGAAAGAUUAAACAUCAGAUAAAAGUUCCACAGGGUUCGGGAGACUUCGGGAAUCUCACAACCAUGACUGAAGGGGAGGCAAACAAGUCCUUCACAUGGCAGCAACAAAGAGAAGUGCCAAGCAAAAGGCAGAAAAGCACCUUGUGAAAUCAUCGGAUCUCUUGAGAACCUACUUACUUACUGUCAAGAGAGCAGCAUCACGAUGGCUGACUAGAAGCAUUUCAAGCAUUCCUCCUCCACUUGGCAGAACCAAAAUAGUAUGUGGACAAUCACACUUUGAAUACAUUACUCAGGAAGGAACACAGGAGUUCAACAGAAAGUUGAAGGGAAGUCUUCAAAUCUGGGAGGAAAAAAGAAAAUGGGCAGCCUGAGUGGCCAAGAUCAGCCAAGACCUGGGUGCAAAUCCUCAAUAUGGAAAAGGGUGAGUGAAUGUGCUUCCGUGGUCCACUUUCCUACUGUGGAAUUGUGCGAGUUGAGGAACAAGGGGAGUACCUAACCCUCCCAAUCUCUGAAUCUAGCUUGAGAAGCAGCCAGAAUACUGUGAGAAAGAAUUGCUUCAGGAGUGUUGCAUGCCCUUUUAUAGACCUGGGAUGCUAUUCUUGAGCCCACCUCCAAGCCAACUGUGCAUGGUCCUUGAGAGUAGCAGCAUUGGUCCUGGCUGGUAGGGAUGCUUAGAGGCAAUUAUGGAAAUGGGACUUUACUGCAGGAUGGGUUACCACAAGUAGUUCUGAGAAUUGAGUGUGGAGUGAGAUCUAGCCACUGGUGGAGCUGGGCACCCUGAGGAUUGCCUUGUCCUGUCCUGACAAGCAUGGUGCCUGUACCUACCACUAGGAGGCCUGGGUUCAAGGUUGCCUGGUUCAGCUCUGCCAAACUUCUCCCCACUCUCUGAGACAGUGUGGGAUCCAUGCUCAUGGGUGUUCCACAAAUCAAUCCACCACGUGGGACACCCAAGUACUUCCCUCAGGGAACAUAGGUCAGAUUUAUACAUCCUACCACUACCCCCACAGCUGUAUUAUUAUUAUUGUUUUUUUACCUGUCAGUGCCACCUACUGGCCUAGAGGAUAGCCCAUGUAUUUCAUUACCAUUAUAACAACUGCUAGCACAAAAACACUCAGGAACUACAAAAGGAUCUCAUGACCACUGCUACUGCCAUCACCCACAACACCCCAGGUUCCAAGGAUGCCAAAAGCCCACUCACCUCCUUAGUGCACCACUGCUACUACUGGCAUCUGAGAAAGCCACUCAGAAGCCCAGGAACCAGCCUGCCGGGAACUGCCACCUCAGGCGCCAGCAUACAUGACCCCAGAUCACAAUGAUAAACAUGCUGAGCCCACCACUACUAUGAAUGAAACCUGAAGAGCUUUUAGGCAUUCUAGUCCUCAGCACAACUUCCCCACAUCCCCCACCCAUGGCUGCACCCUAACUACUGAGCAACCCACAGAUACCAAGGCUAGGUAUAGCCAAAGAAAUCUUUUUAUUAUU
ensembl:lncRNA